GUGGCUGUAGUUCAAUCGGUUAGAGCACCAGAUUGUGGAUCUGGAUGUUGUGGGUUCGAGCCCCAUCAGCCACCCCA
rnacentral:tRNA from 1 species